UUGAACGCUGGCGGUAUGCUUUACACAUGCAAGUCGAACGGCAGCACGGGGCAACCUGGUGGCGAGUGGCGAACGGGUGAGUAACAUAUCGGAACAUGUCCGGAAGUGGGGGAUAACGUACCGAAAGGUACGCUAAUACCGCAUAUGCCCUGAGGGGGAAAGGGGGGGAUCGCAAGACCUCUCGCUUUCGGAGUGGCCGAUAUCGGAUUAGCUAGAUGGUGAGGUAAAGGCUCACCAUGGCGACGAUCCGUAGCUGGUCUGAGAGGACGACCAGCCACACUGGAACUGAGACACGGUCCAGACUCCUACGGGAGGCAGCAGUGGGGAAUUUUGGACAAUGGGCGCAAGCCUGAUCCAGCCAUACCGCGUGAGUGAAGAAGGCCUUCGGGUUGUAAAGCUCUUUCAGCCGGAAAGAAAUUGUACUUAUUAAUACUAAGUGCGGAUGACGGUACCGGAAGAAGAAGCACCGGCUAACUACGU
rnacentral:rRNA from 1 species